rnacentral:rRNA from 1 species
ACCGAGUUAUACAACUCAUCAACCCUGUGAACAUACCUAAAACGUUGCCUCGGCGGGAACAGACGGCCCCGUAACACGGGCCGCCCCCGCCAGAGGACCCCCUAACUCUGUUUCUAUAAUGUUUCUUCUGAGUAAACAAGCAAAUAAAUUAAAACUUUCAACAACGGAUCUCUUGGCUCUGGCAUCGAUGAAGAACGCAGCGAAAUGCGAUAAGUAAUGUGAAUUGCAGAAUUCAGUGAAUCAUCGAAUCUUUGAACGCACAUUGCGCCCGCCAGUAUUCUGGCGGGCAUGCCUGUUCGAGCGUCAUUACAACCCUCAGGCCCCCGGGCCUGGCGUUGGGGAUCGGCGGAAGCCCCCUGCGGGCACAACGCCGUCCCCCAAAUACAGUGGCGGUCCCGCCGCAGCUUCCAUUGCGUAGUAGCUAACACCUCGCAACUGGAGAGCGGCGCGGCCACGCCGUAAAACACCCAACUUCUGAAUGUUGACCUCGAAUCAGGUAGGAAUACCCGCUGAACUUAAGCAUAUCAAUAAGCGGAGGAAAUCGAAUUCCCGCGGCCGCCA